UCCGUAACUGACGCUAAAGCUCGAAAGUGCGGGUAUCGAACAGGAUUAGAUACCCUGGUAGUCCGCACGGUAAACGAUGGAUGCUCGCUGUCGGCGAUACAAUGUCGGCGGCCAAGCGAAAGCGUUAAGCAUCCCACCUGGGGAGUACGCCGGCAACGGUGAAACUCAAAGGAAUUGACGGGGGCCCGCACAAGCGGAGGAACAUGUGGUUUAAUUCGAUGAUACGCGAGGAACCUUACCCGGGCUUGAACUGCAGCGGAAGGAAACAGAGAUGUUGACGCCCUUCGGGGCCGCUGUGGAGGUGCUGCAUGGUUGUCGUCAGCUCGUGCCGUGAGGUGUCGGCUUAAGUGCCAUAACGAGCGCAACCCCUUUCGUCAGUUGCCAUCAGGUAGAGCUGGGCACUCUGGCGACACUGCCACCGUAAGGUGUGAGGAAGGUGGGGAUGACGUCAAAUCAGCACGGCCCUUACGUCCGGGGCUACACACGUGUUACAAUGGGUGAUACAGAGAGCCGGCUGCCCGCAAGGUCAGUCCAAUCAAUAAAGUCAUCCUCAGUUCGGAUUGGGGUCUGCAACCCGACCCCAUGAAGCUGGAUUCGCUAG
rnacentral:rRNA from 1 species